GACGAACGCUGGCGGCGUGCUUAACACAUGCAAGUCGAGCGGAAAGGCCCUUUCGGGGGUACUCGAGCGGCGAACGGGUGAGUAACACGUGAGUAAUCUGCCCUGUGCUCUGGGAUAGCCACCGGAAACGGUGAUUAAUACUGGAUAUGACUGUCCUCCGCAUGGGGGGUGGUGGAAAGUUUUUUCGGCGCAGGAUGUGCUCGCGGCCUAUCAGCUUGAUGGUGGGGUAAUGGCCUACCAUGGCUUUGACGGGUAGCCGGCCUGAGAGGGUGACCGGUCACACUGGGACUGAGACACGGCCCAGACUCCUACGGGAGGCAGCAGUGGGGAAUAUUGGACAAUGGGCGGAAGCCUGAUCCAGCAACGCCGCGUGAGGGAUGACGGCCUUCGGGUUGUAAACCUCUUUCAGCGCAGACGAAGCGAAAGUGACGGUAUGCGCAGAAGAAGGACCGGCCAACUACGUGCCAGCCGCCGCCGUAACAC
rnacentral:rRNA from 1 species